rnacentral:rRNA from 1 species
GACGAACGCUGGCGGCGUGCUUAACACAUGCAAGUCGAACGGAAAGGCCCUGCUUUUGUGGGGUGCUCGAGUGGCGAACGGGUGAGUAACACGUGAGUAACCUGCCCUUGACUUUGGGAUAACUUCAGGAAACUGGGGCUAAUACCGGAUAGGAGCUCCUGCUGCAUGGUGGGGGUUGGAAAGUUUCGGCGGUUGGGGAUGGACUCGCGGCUUAUCAGCUUGUUGGUGGGGUAGUGGCUUACCAAGGCUUUGACGGGUAGCCGGCCUGAGAGGGUGACCGGCCACAUUGGGACUGAGAUACGGCCCCGACUCCUACGGGAGGCAGCAGUGGGGAAUAUUGCACAAUGGGCGGAAGCCUGAUGCAGCAACGCCGCGUGCGGGAUGACGGCCUUCGGGUUGUAAACCGCUUUCGCCUGUGACGAAGCGUGAGUGACGGUAAUGGGUAAAGAAGCACCGGCUAAC